UAAUCUUUUAAAUAUUAAACCACUGAACUUCCUUGGCUGAUGGGACAAGCCAAGCACUUGGGAAAGCACAUCACCAGUGUAUACCCCUGCUAGCAAACAAUCCACUGGAGCUUUGUUAUAAAACAUGCAAACAUCCUGAGGAAGUGCCAGUAAUUUGCAAUAAACACUGUGUGUAAACAAUUACCUGUGACUUGUUACACUUGUUUGUACAGGCAGCUGGCUAAACAGAUCUGUGGGCACUUGUAAACGUCUGUGCCCUUCAAACUUGAUCCUGGAAAACAAUUACUGAGUAUUUGAUUUCUGAAGUAAGAAGUUAAAUCUUUUGUACCUCACAGCUGGCAAGGACUAAGUGUGGGUGCUCAUAGAGACAUGUACAAAAGCUGGAGAAGUAAAACGUGAUGGUGGCGUUUUUAUGAGAACGGUGAAGACACUUUCAUGUCUUGUCACCAGACUAAAGGAAGGUUUUCGUGACAAGGUACUUGAUGAAAAACUGGUUUUACUGGUUGAAGGGUCCUGUGGUGGCAGAGAGCUGAAAGCGGUUUGGUCACGCAAGGUCCAAGGAAGGGGCAAGGGUGAUUUAUUUUCUAGAGGUUUAACAAGAUGGAUGUAAGGAUUUGCUAGAGCAGUUAGGCGUGAUGAGCCCUCUCCCUUCGGACCCUGAAGCGUUGAUGCUGCUCGGUGAGGGAAGCCGGGGAGCGCAGGAUUUGCCACUCAUGCCACAGCCUGUAACCGACCGGGUCACCCCGCCCGAUCCUCACGCAGGGCAACCUGAAUCGCGGCGGCACCUCCGGGCUCCGGCUCCAGGUGCUGCCGCCGGGGCCUCGCUGCUGCCGGACCCCCAGGGAGGAGCAGGAGGCGCGGCCGCUGCCCUCCCGCUUCUCAGGGCACCGCGGCUCCCGUUGUGUGCCCCCUCCCGCUCCCCGCGGGGUGCGGCUCCCGUUGUCCCGCCGCGGGGGGAAGCCCAGGGCAGGGUCCCCGGGGCCGCGCAAGCUGAGGGAGCCGGGGCCGGGCCCCUCGGGUCCUGUCAGCGCCGGCCGCGCGCGCGCAGUGCGCGGGGCGGGGGAGGGGCGCGCAGGCGCAGGGCGCGCGCAGGCGGCGGGCGGGCCCGCGCGAGGGAGCCGCCGAGGGGGGUCUGCGCGCCCGGUGCAGCCGCCGACCCGCGGGGUCCGUGAGGGACCCUCCGGGGCGCGCAGCCCGCCCGGUGCCGGCCUCCGUAUGGGAGUGCGGAGGGCUCCGGUGCCGGCAGCGCGCUCGUCCCGAGGCAGGCGGCACACAAAGGACCGCGGUGUCCGCCCAUCUCGGCACACGCCCCCCUGCCAAACAAAAAAUAACCACCCGAAAGAGCCCAACACCCCCACCACCGCCGGGGCUGUGCCGGGAGCGGGCGGGGGAAGCAAUACACGGCCGGCGAGAAGACGGGCAGCACGGAGAGACCGGGGAAUCGCAACCGGGCGGCGGGGCCCGGUAUUGUUUCGGCACCCGACAAC
rnacentral:lncRNA from 1 species